rnacentral:rRNA from 1 species
AGCCUGAACGCUGGCGGCGUGGCUAAGACAUGCAAGUCGUACGGAUGGAGCAAUCCAUCAGUGGCGGACGGGUGAGUAAUGUAUCGCUAAUGUACCCUUCACUCUGGGAUAGCUGCGGGAAACUGCAGGUAAUACCAGAUGACAUAACCGAAUCGCAUGGUUUGGUCUCAAAGGAGCAAUACGGGUGAGGGAGCGAGGCGAUAUCGUAUCAGCUAGUUGGUGAGGUAACGGCUCACCAAGGCGACGACGCGUAGCUGGUCUGGAGAGGACGGCCAGCCACAUUGGGACUGAGACACGUGCCCAGACCUCCGUACGGGGGCUGGCAAGUAACGAUCUCG